rnacentral:lncRNA from 1 species
GGGAACGGUUUUUCAAAAAGACAGCUUCCAAUCAGUGGAUACUUAAGACACCUCAGGAGUACUGGAGAACAACGACCACUGACAACAGGCACUACACCUUCCGUUCUCUUGACGAAAUGAAGACAACGUGUCUGGAGAAAGAUAAUGCCACAGAGGAUGAUGAGAGGUGGGAGUGCAUUGAGCUGUUGAAGGCAAUGCUCAAGUGGACUGAGAAGGAGAGGAUUACCCCUAGUGGUAUUCUCAAUCACCCAUUUAUUACCAUGAGCUACCUCAACAGCUGCUCCCACCUCAGUUCCUGCAAUAGGUCUGUAGAAGCUGAAACCAGCCCAAGCCAGGCAUCCGGCCCCAGUGCGAGCCCUGCAGCUAAACCUGGCAUUGACAAAGCUAUUGACUCCAACACUAAGAAGGCAGCCGAGCCUGGCACCACCAGGCGACUCAACUGA